rnacentral:rRNA from 1 species
UACGUAGGGGGCAAGCGUUAUCCGGAAUUACUGGGUGUAAAGGGAGCGUAGGCGGCAUGGUAAGCCAGAUGUGGAAGCCUUGGGCUUAACCCGAGGAUUGCAUUUGGAACUAUCAAGCUAGAGUACAGGAGAGGAAAGCGGAAUUCCUAGUGUAGCGGUGAAAUGCGUAGAUAUUAGGAAGAACACCAGUGGCGAAGGCGGCUUUCUGGACUGAAACUGACGCUGAGGCUCGAAAGCGUGGGGAGCAAACAGG